ACCAGGAUGCUGCCUGGAUUAGAGAGUGUGCGGAGUAGAUUCACCAGGAUGCUGCCUGGAUUAGAGAGGGUGCAGUGGAGAUUUACCAGGAUGCUGCCUGGAUUAGAGAGGGUGCAGAGGAGAGGAGGAGAUUCACCAGGAUGCUGUCUGGAUUAGAGAAGGUGCAGAGGAGAUUCAACAGGAUGCUGCCUGGAUUAGAGAGUGUGCGGAGUAGAUUCACCAGGAUGCUGCCUGGAUUAGAGAGGGUGCAGUGGAGAUUUACCAGGAUGCUGCCUGGAUUAGAGAGGGUGCAGAGGAGAGGAGGAGAUUCACCAGGAUGCUGUCUGGAUUAGAGAAGGUGCAGAGGAGAUUCAACAGGAUGCUGCCUGGAUUAGAGAGUGUGCGGAGUAGAUUCACCAGGAUGCUGCCUGGAUUAGAGAGGGUGCAGUGGAGAUUUACCAGGAUGCUGCCUGGAUUAGAGAGGGUGCAGAGGAGAGGAGGAGAUUCACCAGGAUGCUGUCUGGAUUAGAGAAGGUGCAGAGGAGAUUCAACAGGAUGCUGCCUGGAUUAGAGAGUGUGCGGAGUAGAUUCACCAGGAUGCUGCCUGGAUUAGAGAGGGUGCAGUGGAGAUUUACCAGGAUGCUGCCUGGAUUAGAGAGGGUGCAGAGGAGAGGAGGAGAUUCACCAGGAUGCUGUCUGGAUUAGAGAAGGUGCAGAGGAGAUUCAACAGGAUGCUGCCUGGAUUAGAGAGUGUGCGGAGUAGAUUCACCAGGAUGCUGCCUGGAUUAGAGAGGGUGCAGUGGAGAUUUACCAGGAUGCUGCCUGGAUUAGAGAGGGUGCAGAGGAGAGGAGGAGAUUCACCAGGAUGCUGUCUGGAUUAGAGAAGGUGCAGAGGAGAUUCAACAGGAUGCUGCCUGGAUUAGAGAGUGUGCGGAGUAGGUUCACCAGGAUGCUGCCUGGAUUAGAGAGGGAGCAGAGGAGAUUCACCAGGAAGCUGCCUGGAUUGGAGAGGGUGCAGAGGAGAUUCACCAGGAUGCUGCCUGGAUUAGAGAGG